ACUCUCGGAAGACCUGCCCCGCUUCAACACGAUUGACUCCAGCAUCGCGGGAAGGGCCACCGUAAGGUGUGGACGCAGCUGACAACAAAGCCUGUUAGGAUGGUGUCUGACAGGUUACGACUGACACCCACUUCUCAGUUGCGGACCUGAAGGACUCCACAUCAUGUAAUGAAUGUGAGAGCCACACUUCAAGAGGUUGUCUCACAAUAUUUCAGGCAUUUACUCAGGCGGACAAGACUUUAUUUGAGCUCCAGCUAAGUGUUUCAUAACCACAACAGUCUGGUUUCGGAGAGUAGGAAAAGAGGAAGGCAGAAAUACGCCAUGUUCCCUCCCCAGUAAACCACACCCUAGCUUUGAAAGAAACAUAACUGAACCCUGAUGUCAUAGCUGGACGUCAGCCCACAAACUCUGUGGAGUAAAGUCUAUACAGUCAGAGUGCAUCAGAUUUUCCUUUACAACCGCUCAUUGCAGGCUGCAUGAGUAACGAAGUAAAGCAAUGAAAGAUCCAGUGUACAGUGCUGUACAUUUGAAUUGUGUUUACAUUUAUUGCAGAGUUGAAAAUUAGAAUUACUGCUUCCGAUAGAAGUACUAAAAAAAUAAAUAGAUGCGAGCUCCCCAGAAUGAUUAAUUGAUUAAAUCUAUGAAUUGCCCAGCCCUAGUUUAAAUAUACAUUUUCUCUCAGAUUUAUUUUGGGCAGUACUAAUAAUACUGAAAUUAAUUUAUUACACUGGGUCAUGGUUUCUAGGCAAUUAAAUUCUGUAAUAUAAUUAGGAUGCAAUUUUGUCAGAUGCAUUUGGCCACCAAGAACUAAUUUUACACCGUUUUUGCAUUCCACACAAAUAAGCACCGUAUCAACACUAUCUACAUACCGUAUUUUCACAACCACGGGGUCUAUUUCUGUAUUUAACACAUACAUAAGGCGCACCGUAUUAUUGGGCA